CCUACGGGAGACAGCAGUAGGGAAUAUUUCUCAAUGGGGGAAACCCUGAAGCAGCAACGCCGCGUGGAGGAUGAAGGUUUUCGGAUUGUAAACUCCUUUUGUUAGAGAAGAUAAUGACGGUAUCUAACGAAUAAGCACCGGCUAACUCCGUGCCAGCAGCCGCGGUAAUACGGAGGGUGCAAGCGUUACUCGGAAUCACUGGGCGUAAAGAGCUCGUAGGCGGGAUAGCAAGUGCGAUGUGAAAUCCUAGGGCUUAACCAUAGAACUGCAUUUGAAACUGUUAUUCUAGAGUAUGGGAGAGGUAGGUGGAAUUCUUGGUGUAGGGGUAAAAUCCGUAGAGAUUAAGAGGAAUACUCAUUGCGAAGGCGACCUGCUAGAACAUAACUGACGCUGAUGCGCGAAAGCGUGGGGAGCAAACGGGAUUAGAUACCCUUGUAGUC
rnacentral:rRNA from 1 species